CAGCAGCCGCGGGAACACCGAGGGUGCAAGCGUUAAUCGGAAUUACUGGGCGUAAAGCGCACGCAGGCGGUCUGUCAAGUCAGAUGUGAAAUCCCCGGGCUUAACCUGGGAACUGCAUUUGAAACUGGCAGGCUAGAGUCUUGUAGAGGGGGGUAGAAUUCCAGGUGUAGCGGUGAAAUGCGUAGAGAUCUGGAGGAAUACCGGUGGCGAAGGCGGCCCCCUGGACAAAGACUGACGCUCAGGUGCGAAAGCGUGGGGAGCAAACAGGAUUAGAUACCCCGGUAGUCCCUGUCUCUUAUAC
rnacentral:rRNA from 1 species